UGAAGGUCUAGUCCUGAUAAGGAAAGAGCGAGGCUGAAUUGUGGAGGGGUGGUAAAACUCGCUCAUACAUAUUGCUGUCCUAGCUUUUGAUGCAAUAGCUCAAAAUAAAACGUCAACCACUAUCUGUAUGUGAUUGAGUUACAGCUGCGGUUUUUGUAUUUAAAACGUUGUUAAAUCCCAGAACACCACAAGAAAGAGCCACAGCGUCAGAUGUGAAAUGAAGUAUGGUCUCUCAUGAACCGAUGUGAUUCGAUCCAACAACCUCCACCUUACAGGAUGCUAGGAUUACAGGUGUACGUGGCUGUAAGUUACACAGCCUUAGUGUUCGCUGUUACAUCAGUAAGGCUAUGCUUUGUGGAAUAGUAAAGAAAGUAGUUCGCUGGCAGUCUGCAAAACCUCACCCAAGGAUAAUUUAUUAACCAGAUCACAUGACUUUUUUAUGAAGACAUGUCUGAGAAAAUACAUUAUUUGUGUCAUUUCACCGUUCUUCAAGCAUAUUUUAUCUUUCUUCAUAUGUAGUAAUGUCACCCUUUAUUCUACUAUCUAGCUAUUGGGGAAACUCUUUUACUCUUUGUUUUGAUGUUUGAUGUUUACAUGUCAUUGCUGAUCUAUUCUAUCUACAGUUUUAUAUUUAAGCAGCAUAUGCAUUCUAAAUAAUUAAGACCUGGCUGUGUAAUCCAUUUUUGGCAUUGUCUUAGUCUUACCCAGUGAUGUGUACCAUCUCUUUAGUAAUAUUCAAAUAUGUGUCUGAAUAUACCAAUUUGAUUUUCAUUCUUUAACAUGAACAACCAUGUACCUGUUUGUUAGCUUUAGAAGCAGUUUAACUCUGUAAAUAUCUUUUUAUGAUUAUAAUCUGAUACGAUUAUGUUUCUGACCUUUUUAGACAACAGACUGCCUUGCUUUGUAAUGUCAUAGUUUUCUCCCUGGUAGUCCACUGUAAAAUGAAAAUUCCUAGCUGAACAUUGCUAGCUAACAUAUGUAAAUAACUAAGUAACAACAAAUAAACAAACAAAUAAUCUGAUUAAGAACUGUAACAACCAGUGUUGCUGGUGGAUCAUAACAGCAUCUCGAUUUAAGUGACU